AGCAGCCGCGGUAAUUCCAGCUCCAAUAGCGUAUAUUAAAGUUGUUGCAGUUAAAAAGCUCGUAGUUGAAUUUCGGGGUUAGUAGGUUGGUCAUGCCUCUGGUAUGUACUGGUCUCACUGAUUCCUCCUUCCUGAUGAGCCGUAAUGCCAUUAAUUUGGUGUUGCGGGGAAUUUGGACUGUUACUUUGAAAAAAUUAGAGUGUUUAAAGCAAGCUAACGCUUGAAUACAUUAGCAUGGAAUAAUGAAAUAGGACGUUCGAUCCUAUUUUGUUGGUUUCUAGGAUUGACGUAAUGAUUAAUAGGGAUAGUUGGGGGCAUUAGUAUUCAAUUGUCAGAGGUGAAAUUCUUGGAUUUAUUGAAGACUAACUACUGCGAAAGCAUUUGCCAAGGAUGUUUCCAUUAAUCAAGAACGAAAGUUAGGGGAUCGAAGACGAUCAGAUACCGUCGUAGUCUUAACCAUAAACUAUGCCGACUAGGGAUCGGAUGAUGUUAAUUUUUUAAUGACUCAUUCGACGCCUUACG
rnacentral:rRNA from 1 species